rnacentral:rRNA from 1 species
UUUUAUAGAAUCAUAACAGGAGAAAUAUGAAAUAAGUCGUUACUCAUGUCGAUAUAUAACUAAUUGAAGAUUAACAAGGACCUGCGGUGACGAUACUGUAGGGGAAGUCCUGCGGGAAAAUAACUCGAUGCCAGAAU